UACGUAGGGUGCAAGCGUUGUCCGGAAUUAUUGGGCGUAAAGAGCUCGUAGGCGGUUUGUUGCGUCGGCUGUGAAAAUCCCGAGGCUCAACCUCGGGUCUGCAGUCGAUACGAGCAAACUAGAGUGUUGCAGGGGAGACUGGAAUUCCUGGUGUAGCGGUGAAAUGCGCAGAUAUCAGGAGGAACACCGGUGGCGAAGGCGGGUCUCUGGGCAAACAACUGACGCUGGAGGAGCG
rnacentral:rRNA from 1 species